rnacentral:rRNA from 1 species
GACGAACGCUGGCGGCGUGCUUAACACAUGCAAGUCGAACGGAAAGGCCCUGCUUGCAGGGUACUCGAGUGGCGAACGGGUGAGUAACACGUGGGUGAUCUGCCCUGCACUUCGGGAUAAGCCUGGGAAACUGGGUCUAAUACCGGAUAGGAGCCAUUUUUAGUGUGAUGGUUGGAAAGUUUUUUCGGUGUAGGAUGAGCUCGCGGCCUAUCAGCUUGUUGGUGGGGUAAUGGCCUACCAAGGCGGCGACGGGUAGCCGGCCUGAGAGGGUGGACGGCCACAUUGGGACUGAGAUACGGCCCAGACUCCUACGGGAGGCAGCAGUGGGGAAUAUUGAACAAUGGGCGCAAGCCUGAUGCAGCGACGCCGCGUGGCGGAUGACGGCCUUCGGGUUGUAAACUCCUUUCGCUAGGGACGAAGCUUUUUGUGACGGUACCUAGAUAAGAAGCACCGGCUAACUACGUG